rnacentral:rRNA from 1 species
CACGUAGGGGGCGAGCGUUGUCCGGAUUUAUUGGGCGUAAAGAGCUCGUAGGCGGCUCACUAAGUCGGGUGUGAAAUUUCGAGGCUCAACCUCGAAACGCCACCCGAUACUGGUGUGGCUAGAGUCCGGUAGGGGAGCGUGGAAUUCCUGGUGUAGCGGUGAAAUGCGCAGAUAUCAGGAGGAACACCAGCGGCGAAGGCGGCGCUCUGGGCCGGUACUGACGCUGAGGAGCGAAAGCGUGGGGAGCAAACAGG